CAGGUGGAUUGUUUUUGUAUUAAUCACGUCCAGGUCCUCAAAAUUCAUGUUAAAACAUUUUGUAUUAUUCAUAAAAGCAAACAGGUUAACACUAGUUUAACACAACAGACACAAAAGCUACAUGUUGAUAUUAUUCCAGGCCUGCUGCAUUGUUCACAAGCUCUUUGCUCACCUAACAGCAUAAAUGCAUGAAUUAUUUUAGUAUUUUCAUUUAAAUUAAAAUUGAAGUGACCAAGCUUCAAUAUGGCCAGGGUGGGUAAAAACGAUUCCGAAAGUUUUUUAUAAACUAGUGCAAAAAUAAAAGUACACUGCAAUAAUCAGCUCACCCAGAUGUCUUCUUUCUUUGCUCCUUUUUUUUUUUAAACCCCGGUCUUCAGUGGGUUUUCAUCCCACGGGUUCAGACAGAAACGCCGCAGGAAAGCUGGUCCAGGACCCGAGCGAAAGACUGAGGCGCGUCUACUGGCGCUUCGGCUGAAGUUGCGCUGCGGUCCAAACUCUGCUCGGCGGAAACAGAGUCAUAGUAAUACUACCAACUUACAACAUGUCAUCCUGGAGUCCUGCGUGCUGGCGGGACCGCACCGUCCGCCCGAAAAGAAAAAAAAAAACAUUUAAUUAAAAAAGAAAAGAAAAGAAAAGAAAAGAAAAACGCUCAAGGCAGCGGGAGCAGUGGAAGCGAUGCCGAAGUGGUCGAUCGCACCUUCAAAGAGAAAACUACAUAUUCUGACUGCUUACUUUUGCAGACUUUCGCCGUGAAUUAAUCCGGCGCACGGCGACUUUAUUUUCUGAGCAACAGUUCACUCACUUGUUGUUUUUUCCCAUAUCCUGCUUCUCUCUCUCUUCAGCAUCUGCCCGCUACUGCGUCCCCCCCUCAUCCUCCCUCCUUAACACCUCCAGCCACACACACAAACACACACCCAGCAUCGUCCUAUCCAGCAUGUGACCUUUUCACAAAUCAAAUGACUACAUCUGUUUAACGGUUUAAUCAAAGGUUUUACAAUAUUACUUGGUAGAUUUAAAGCAUAUUUGUUGGAUAUUCUGUGAUAGUCUUUCUUUUUUCUGCCUGACUGUAACCUUACAGAUUUUCAGGUGGCGUUAAGAGGUAUAGACACUUGUGGAGUUGUGUGAAAAGACUAAAGUCUAAGUACAAAAACGUGGGCUACAGAUGUGAGACUG
ensembl:lncRNA